AUUGAACGCUGGCGGCAGGCCUAACACAUGCAAGUCGAGCGAGCGGCGGACGGGUGAGUAAUGUAUGGGGACUGCCCGAUAGAGGGGGAUAACUACUGGAAACGGUGGCUAAUACCGCAUACUAUCGGAUAACCCAUAUGGGAUUAGCUAGUAGGUGGGGUAAUGGCUCACCUAGGCGACGAUCCCUAGCUGGUCUGAGAGGAUGACCAGCAACACUGGAACGGAGAAACGGCCCAGACUCCUAUGGAGGCAGCAGGGGGGAAUAUUGCACAAUGGGCGCAAGCCGGAGGCAGCCAUGCCGCGUGUGUGAAGAAGGCCUUCGGGUGGUAAAGCACUUUCAGCGGGGAGGCUUUACUCGCAGAAGAAGCACCGGCUAACUCCGUGCCAGCAGCCUCGGUAAUUC
rnacentral:rRNA from 1 species